UUUGUACAAUUUAUUUCCCACUGCUGGGAACUGGCAAGUCCACAUUCAUAUAGGCCUCUUUGAACCUCAAAACUGUCCAGACAGCCUCAAUGCAUAGCUUUUUCUAGAAAUGAAUUGUCUUCUUGUCCUUUGACAAAUGGGGUUAGGGGUUUCCAGAACACAGAGUGUCAGCUAGUGAGAGCCAGCAGACACUCAUGUUAACAGGACUCAAGCAAACCCAUCUUUGUAGUGGCUCUGCCCUUCCCAGCACUUGCAAGUUACAUAAAUCUGUCUUCAAUAGCAUUUCCCUUCCCCCAGGCACAAGCAACCCAGGUCUUUAUUGCAGAAACACUGGCCUAAGGGUAGCAUAGACAUUUGUCUCUAGGAGGGGGCAUGUGUCCCUAGGACUACAUACAGAUGGACAGUGCAUCUGUUCGUGGAGAAACCCACAGAAGUCUGAUAAAAUCCUGUGGAAGAUACAGACCUAGACACUUUCCUCUUAUUCAUUUAAAGCUUUUCCUUGGCUGGAAAUGUUGACAGCCAUGCGGACACACACUGUAUGGACCCAUUCACUGUAUAUUCCUCUUGCACAUGCUAAUAGCCAUUUCCCUUUGAAGGUCUUUGGAUUGUGCAGAGUAGUUUUGACCUACAGUACAGAAGCCUCUGACUUGGAAACCCCAGAAUACACUGACCUGAUCUGUGAAGUCUUCAACACUG
rnacentral:lncRNA from 1 species